rnacentral:tRNA from 1 species
UCCCUUGUGGCUCAGCUGGUAAAGAAUCCGCCUGCAAUGCAGAAGACCUGGGUUCGAUUCCCUGGGUGGGAA